rnacentral:antisense_RNA from 1 species
CGGGGACUCGGGGCUUGAUGCUGCUUGGGCCUGGCCCAGUGGCGGGUCCUAGGACGUGGGUACCUGCAGAGGCCAGCAGAUGGAGAUUCAGAAACAUAAGGACAACAAGAAACUUCCCCAAGGUAUCAUUACAGUCUUUAGACUUCAGACACACACCACACCUCAAAUGUAUACACAACUGAAAUGAAAAUUCAGGAAGUUUUUCAAAGAACCCUAUUCCGAGUAAGAAGUGUGUUGCAUGAAUUUCUAAGAGCCAGAAAAUGCAUGACACAGGAGAAGAUGCACCCUCAUCUGUUCAGUGAGAGAUGUGCAAAUCAACAUCAACACAGAACUGCUGAAGAAAAAAAUAUGUGUGCGUAUGUGUAUAUAUAUGUAUAAGUAUAUAUAUAUAUAUAUUUACAUAUAUAGUAUGGGCUAUUUCACCUUUGCAAGCUGGGAGCCAUUAAGUAAUGGCUCCCACCACUCCCCCACCCCCUUCAGUAAAACACAUCCUGAACAUUGGGCCCAUGUUUUCAAGAAGAAUGUGCCCCACUGCCCCUUGGAAACUCCAUUUCAUUUACUUGGUUCAGUUAGUUAAUGACGGUCCAUUUUGACUCAAAUAUCCAGUUCCCUUUCAUCAAUCAUGUCUUUCUGGACUGUCAGUUUUAGGGAAAGGAUUACAAAGCCCUUCCAUGCAGAUAUCCACAGAGAAAGACCCAGACCCACAUCC